UACGUAGGGCGCGAGCGUUUGUCCGGAAUUAUUGGGCGUAAAGAGCUCGUAGGCGGCCGGUUGCGUCUGCUGUGAAAUCCCGGGGCUUAACCCCGGGCGUGCAGUGGAUACGGGCCGGCUGGAGGCAGGCAGGGGAGAAUGGAAUUCCCGGUGUAGCGGUGAAAUGCGCAGAUAUCGGGAGGAACACCGGUGGCGAAGGCGGUUCUCUGGGCCUGUACUGACGCUGAGGAGCGAAAGCGUGGGGAGCGAACAGG
rnacentral:rRNA from 1 species